UCAAUCUGAUCUCGGGACAGUUACGGCCGCCCGCCGGCGAAGUACUGCUUGCGGACGAGAACAUCACACGCCUGACUGCCCCCCUGCGCACGCGCAAGGGGCUCGGCCGCGCGUUUCAGNCUUCCAGCUCACCAAUCUUUUCCCGAACCUGAGCGUCGAGGAAAAUGUCCGCCUUGCCGUGCAGGCGGCCAGCGGCGUGCAUUACGAGAUGCUUCGCCCGUGGAUGAAGCGCCGUGACCUGAUCGAACGCGCCGAUGCGAUCCUCGAUUCCAUCGCGCUCGGCAACCGCCGCGCGGUCGCAGCGGCAGCCCUCUCCCAUGGCGACCAGCGCAAACUUGAAGUUGCGCUGAUGAUGGCGCUGGAGCCGAAAGUCUUCAUGUUCGACGA
rnacentral:misc_RNA from 1 species